UACAGAGGUCCCAAGCGUUGUUCGGAUUCACUGGGCGUAAAGGGUGCGCAGGUGGGUUUGCAAGUUCGAUGUGAAAGCCCCGGGCUUAACCCGGGAAUGGCAUUGGAUACUGCAGAUCUGGAGGAUCGGAGGGGGGACUGGAAUUCUUGGUGUAGCAGUGAAAUGCGUAGAUAUCAAGAGGAACACCAGUGGCGAAGGCGAGUCCCUGGACGAUACCUGACACUGAGGCACGAAGGCUAGGGGAGCAAACAGG
rnacentral:rRNA from 1 species